rnacentral:tRNA from 15 species
GAUGUAGCCAAGUGGAUCAAGGCAGUGGAUU